rnacentral:rRNA from 1 species
UACGUAGGGCGCAAGCGUUGUCCGGAAUUAUUGGGCGUAAAGAGCUCGUAGGCGGCUUGUCACGUCGGGUGUGAAAGCCCGGGGCUUAACCCCGGGUCUGCAUUCGAUACGGGCAGGCUAGAGUGUGGUAGGGGAGAUCGGAAUUCCUGGUGUAGCGGUGAAAUGCGCAGAUAUCAGGAGGAACACCGGUGGCGAAGGCGGGAUCUCUGGGCCAUACUGACGCUGAGGAGCGAAAGCGUGGGGAGCAAACAGGAUUAGA